GAUGAACGCUGGCGGCGUGCCUAAUACAUGCAAGUCGAGCGAACAGACGAGGAGCUUGCUCCUCUGACGUUAGCGGCGGACGGGUGAGUAACACGUGGCUAACCUACCUAUAAGACUGGGAUAACUUCGGGAAACCGGAGCUACUACCGGAUAAUAUAUUCAACCGCAUGGUUCAAUAGUGAAAUACGUUUUUGCUGUCCCUUAUACAUUGAUCCGCGCCGCAUUAGCUAGUUGGUAAGGUAACGGCUUACCAAGGCUACGAUGCGUAGCCGACCUGAGAAGAUGAUCGGCCACACUGGAACUGAGACACGGUCCAGACUCCUACGGGAGGCAGCAGUAGGGAAUCGUCCGCAAUGGGCGGAAGCCUGACGGAGCAACGCCGCGUGAGUGAUGAAGGUCUUCGGAUCGUAAAACUCUGUUAUUAGGGAAGAACAAAUGUGUAAGUAACUAUGCACGUCUUGACGGUACCUAAUCAGAAAGCCAAGGCUAACUACGUG
rnacentral:rRNA from 1 species